rnacentral:rRNA from 1 species
GACGAACGCUGGCGGCGUGCUUAAUACAUGCAAGUCGAGCGAGGUCCAUCUGGUGGCAACACCAGUGAAGGCCGAGCGGCGAACGGGUGAGUAACACGUGAGCAACCUGCCCCGAAGUCUGGAAUAACAUCGGGAAACCGGUGCUAAUACCGGAUCGCCCCACCUGACCGCAUGAUCGGGUGAGGAAAGAUUUAUCGCUUCGGGAGGGGCUCGCGGCCUAUCAGCAGUUGGUGGGGUAACGGCCUACCAAGGCAUCGACGGGUAGCUGGUCUGAGAGGACGACCAGCCACACUGGGACUGAGACACGGCCCAGACUCCUACGGGAGGCAGCAGUAGGGAAUCUUGCGCAAUGGGCGAAAGCCUGACGCAGCAACGCCGCGUGGGGGAUGACGGCC